GUUCUUAGCUAAAAACAAAACAACAAGAGAGACCUGAGUUAAAUUCCAAUUUUUAUCAAAUAUAGGACCAGGCUUUAGGCCGGUCCAGGCCUUGGGGCGGAUUAAGUUGUAGGUCAGGUCGGAUCAGGCUUUUUAAAAGGCCAGGUCAGGCCGAAUUUGUUCUAAAAAUUUUUGGUUUGUUGGUAACCUUGCAGGCCGGGCCUGACUGGUCCAGGCUUUGACUAGGUCAGGCUUUGAUCAGGCCAGGUCUAGGUCGGAUCCAGGUCAGGUUGCGGGCCGCGGGCCAUUUGUGCAACCCUAGUGCCAACCAUGUAAUAGUUCUAAAAAGUAAUUGUGACAGACAUAGCAACAGUUAGUAUUAUCGACCGGUUUCACAUGACAGACGGACUAUCCUUCAACUGAUUAAUUAGUUAUAUGUGUACCAUCAAGAAAAUAAUAACAAAUAAAAAAGAUAGAGAAUAAAGAAGAUUUAAAAACAAAUUCAAAAAAAAAUUUAAGAAAAAAUAAAGAAGAAGAGUAAAGCAAAAUAAAAAAAAACAGUAAGUGUAAAAGAAGAAGA
rnacentral:lncRNA from 1 species